rnacentral:rRNA from 1 species
GAUACCCUAUUAUACUAAAAAGUCGAUAAAUGGGCCGGAUUACUAAUAGAUAUGUUCUUAAAAUUUAAAGAAUUUGGCGGUGAUUUAGUCUUGUCAGAGGAACCUGUUUUUGAAUCGAUACACCACGUAGAAUCUUACUUACUUUUGUUAUGAUUGAUACAGCUUAUAUACCAUCAUUACCAGAUAAUUUUAAGAGAAGAAAUUAUUGAGAUUUGUGGUUUUAAAUAAAAUUAGAUCAAGGUGUAGCUUAUGAGUAAGUUAAAAUGGGUUACAAUAAAAUUUAUUUAUGACGUAGCAAUUAAAGAAUAAGUUAAUUUAAAGGAGGAUUUGAUUGUAAUGUAAGUUUAACAUGCUUAUGAGAUAUAAGCUCUAAAUCAUGUACAU